rnacentral:rRNA from 1 species
UACGAAGGGUGCAAGCGUUACUCGGAAUUACUGGGCGUAAAGCGUGCGUAGGUGGUGAGUUAAGUCUGAUGUGAAAUCCCCGGGCUCAACCUGGGAAUGGCAUUGGAUACUGGCUCGCUGGAGUGCGGUAGAGGGUGGUGGAAUUCCCGGUGUAGCAGUGAAAUGCGUAGAGAUCGGGAGGAACAUCUGUGGCGAAGGCGGGUCUCUGGACAGUUCCUGACGCUGAGGCACGAAGGUCAGGGGAGCAAACGGG